GGGGAAACGAAACGUGACCUAGACAGUCACGCCCGCGGGCCACCGACCGGGAUUCAGGCGGCGGCCAGGGACCCAAAUGCCGCAGAGCUGACUGCGGCCUCUGCUAUGUGGGCAGAGCUGUGGGAUACACACCGGGGGGAAGGCUUCCAGGAGAAUCUUCUAAGAUCUGGAGUUGUUUCAGAGGGAAGCUGAGCUGUCUGCCCAGCGCUGACAGAGGCCGGUGCCAGGCAUGGAUAACAGAUCUGGAGCUAAGCAAAGGCUGCUGAGUGGACUGCAGUUUCCAGCCGGCCCUGUGGCCAAGUCCUCAUCAAGAGUGUGAGGAGCCCUGCAGUAGGAACUGCUUCUGUGUUGGGUCCAUGCAGAGUGGGGGCGUCUGCUCCAAGACCCCUAAGAUCAGGCUGUGGCAGCACUCCAGCCAUGCUGGAUCAGCACCCUAAGGAAAAGCUCAAGGCUCAAGACUUAGAAUUAUUUUCACCAUCCUCAAAGAUCCUGUAUCAUUUUGUGGUUUUAAUUAACCAAACAUUUUGUACAAUACUGCAAAUAAGGAAGAGAACUCUUUAUCUUUUGAAAACACAUGUUCCUUGAUUUACAGUGGGAUUGUAAACCAAUUCACCCAUUGCAACUUGAAAAUGUCUUAAGUUAAAAAUGCACAUGAUUCACCUAGCUGGGUGAGCAUCUCAGCAACACGACACACUGCAGUGCUGGUUGCCCCUUGUGAUGGACAGCUGUGACUCACCAUCACCACUCAGCACCACCAAAGGGUUGCACUGAAGAUCGCCAGCCCUGGAGAGAUCAAGAUUCAAAGUUUGGUUUCUACUGAAUGUAGAAAUUUAGGGGCCAGGGCUGGGGAUUUAGCUCAGUGGUUCCACCACCUGCCUCGCAAGCACAAGGUCCCAAGUUUGAUCCCCGGUACUAAAAAAAAAAAAAAAAUUCAGGGGCCAGGGAUGCAGCUCAGCGGUGCAACAUCUGCCAGGCAAGCGCGAGGCCCUGAGUUUGAUUCCCAAAAGAGAAAAAGAAGAAGAAAUUCAGGCACCGUCCUUCAGUUGGAAAAUUGUAGGUACUACCACCAUGAAGUUGGGACCACAUCCACACCUGUACGUCUGUAUCUCUAUAUCCAUCUACCUGUCUGCCUGUCUUCUCAUUGGCUCUGCGUCUCUGGGGAACCUGAGACAGACGAGAGACUUGCUGACUCCAGCCUCUGUGUUACUGGGUCUCUUCGUUACCGCAGCCCCCGACCCUUACUAAUUUGGAUGUUGAUUGGUUUCCAUGAGUGUGUCCACUGCUGGCUUGGCUUCUGUGACCUUCUUAUCCUUUAAGGUCCUUUGCUGGCUUCAUGUCACUCUCCAGGAAUUGUACAUAUUGAGUGUAUGCACCUGUUGAUUGUAAUAUUUACUGCAAAUUUGUUGAGGUUGGUCCCUAGUCUCUUUGCUUCAUUUUGGGCAGCUUUCAUCCUGGAGAAUACAUUGCAGCUCGCGAUGCUGGUGACAGAAAUCCCGCUGGCUCCACUGUGCUGCAGAGGCUACUUACUGAGCCAUCCGUCUGCCUGCUCUCUUCAUGGCGCUAGAGAUUCCUGCAGGAAACAUAAGACAUCUCUCAAUUUUCAUCCUUUAGUACAAUUUUUAAAUGUUUUUGUAAGUCCUCCAGAAUUUUGGUUAGGUUUAUUCCUGCAUUAUAUUUUUUGUUGCCAUUGCAAAUGCUCUUUUCUACUUGGUGUAAGGAAAAGGUGUUGCUUUCUAUGUCUGGUCUGUGGCCUCUUGCCAUCUGACUGAUUUCUGUACCCUAUCAAACCUGUCCCAGGAUGGUACUUCUAUGAAGUACCUGAAUUAUCCUAGUUUACGCGGGGUUCUCUCUGAGUCUUCUGCACACUCUUGGUUUCCUUCAGAUGUGUAGAGAUUCUUGGUCAUCCGAUCCCACUUCUCAACGAGAGCCAGGACGGUGGCUGUCAAAGUACGAACCAUAGAUUCCUGGAGGAGAGGAGUCAGGUCCUGAGACUUUAUCAAGAUUGCCUACAAGGUCAGAGCUAUUGAGUAGGAAUACAAAGAUGUUUUCUUCCCUCAUGGAUGUUCAGCGAGUCUACAGCAUGUGUAAUAUCACAAGAGGUCGAGAGCAGAGCAGAUAGAAAAAUCCAACUGGCCAUAAGCCAGACUUUGAAAAGACUUUUUAAAAUUCAAAGGAAUAUUACUUUUCUUACUAAAUAGUUUUUAGAAAAGUAUAGCUAUUUUCAUAAAUGUUAUUUGAAGUAACAUGCCAUUGUUAUUAUUAAAUAAAGAAAUACUUAAACAUUUUCUCC
ensembl:lncRNA